GUCUCUGUGGCGCAAUGGGCCACUGCGUCCGGCUGUUAAUCAGAAGGUUGGUGGUUCGAGCCCACCCAGGGAUG